rnacentral:rRNA from 1 species
ACGGGAGGCAGCAGUGGGGGAUAUUGCACAAUGGGGGAAACCCUGAUGCAGCGACGCCGCGUGAGUGAUGAAGUAUUUCGGUAUGUAAAGCUCUAUCAGCAGGGAAGAUAAUGACGGUACCUGACUAAGAAGCACCGGCUAAAUACGUGCCAGCAGCCGCGGUAAUACGUAUGGUGCAAGCGUUAUCCGGAUUUACUGGUUGUAAAGGGAGCGUAGACGGCAAGGCAAGCCAGAUGUGAAAGGCUGGGGCUCAACCCCGGGACUGCAUUUGGAACUGUCUAGCUAGAGUAUCGGAGAGGUAAGUGGAAUUCCUAGUGUAGCGGUGAAAUGCGUAGGUAUUAGGAGGAACACCAGUGGCGAAGGCGGCUUACUGGACGAUAACUGACGUUGAGGCUCGAAAGCGUGGGGAGCAAACAGGAUUAGAUACCCUGGUA